CGACCCCACGCGGAAGAGUCCUCGCCAUCGAGCGGGGCGCCGAAGGAGCAACUCCUCCCCGGAAUCUCUCAGGCACCGAUACCGCAUGGGUCAG
rnacentral:ncRNA from 2 species